rnacentral:misc_RNA from 1 species
GAUGAAGAACGUAGCGAAAUGCGAUAAGUAAUGUGAAUUGCAGAAUUCCGUGAAUCAUCGAAUCUUUGAACGCACAUUGCGCCCGCCAGCAUUCUGGCGGGCAUGCCUGUUCGAGCGUCAUUUCAACCCUCGAGCCCCCCCGGGGGCCUCGGUGUUGGGGGACGGCACACCAGCCGCCCCCGAAAUGCAGUGGCGACCUCGCCGCAGCCUCCCCUGCGUAGUAGCACACACCUCGCACCGGAGCGCGGAGACGGUCACGCCGUAAAACGCCCAACUUCUUAGAGUUGACCUCGGAUCAGGUAGGAAUACCCGCUGAACUUAAGCAUAUCAAUAAGCGGAGGA